rnacentral:piRNA from 1 species
GUUGGGGAUGAGAGGUCGAUAUG